rnacentral:rRNA from 1 species
ACGACGCUGGCGGCGUGCCUAACACAUGCAAGUCAAGGAGAAUUCCCGACUUGUCGGGAUAGUAAACUGGCGAACGGGUGAGUAACACGUAGGUAAUCUACCCUCGGGAUCGGGAUAACCUUGCGAAAGUGGGGAUAAUACCGAAUAAAGUCUCGGUAUAAUUUGUCGAGAUGAAAGAUGGGGAUCUUCGGACCUAUUACCUGAGGAUGAGCCUGCGCCUGAUUAGCUAGUUGGUAGGGUAAAUGCCUACCAAGGCAACGAUCAGUAGCUGGUCUGAGAGGAUGAUCAGCCACAUUGGGACUGAGAUACGGCCCAGACUCCUACGGGAGGCAGCAGUGAGGAAUUUUGCGCAAUGGGCGAAAGCCUGACGCAGCAACGCCGCGUGACUGAUUAAGCUCUGAGGAGUGUAAAAGUCUGUCGUAGAGGAAGAAACUAUCCGAUAAGAAUAUUGUCGGAUACUGACGGUACUCUAUGAGAAAGCUCCGGCUAACUCCGUG